CCCGCUGACGGCAAAUUUACAAGCAUAGUACAAUUGACGCCAUUAUAAUUAGUUCCCCCCAAAAGUCUUAUUUUUCAGGGCAGAGAUCCGACUUUCUCUUUACACAUGAAUAUCUCCGGACUAGAGCAAGAACAUUACGGAGGAGCCACUGGUUAUAUAGGCCGGGCUUCUCAAGCUACUGGGCACACAAGUCGCCUAGGGACCGAAUUAAUGUGCAGCUCUGAUGCAGCCGCCUGAGACCCGCCUUUCCAGCAGCUUGCCAGGAGGUGCUGAUGCUGCCGGCGCCUGGACCGCGCGUUAAGCAGUGCAGUUUAGCACCAUCCGUGAUGUUAACUGGAUGUAAAACGGAGUGAAUCAUCACAAACUGAACAACCUGUGAAACCAGCACCCAGAUGGAGAAACAGAAUUUGCUAAUUUUGAAUUCACAAAACGUAAUUUUUCUGGGCUCCCGGAAGCCCCUCCCCCUGUCCCUUUCCUCUCUCUAUCCCUCCUUCCAGAAGGGCAGCCACUCUCCUGACUCCCAACAGAAGAUAAUUUUGCCUGCGUUUAGUUUUCCAUCGGUCAUUUAAAUGGAAUCACCUGGGCUCGGCUUCGCUGCCUCAACCUGUUGUUCGUGAUUUUCGUUUGUGUUCAGUGGUAUGUAGUUGUAGAUUUUCCAUUCCCAUUGCUGAAGAGUAUUCAUGGUGUUUAUUUUUAUGGUGACUUUAUAUGUGUAAUACACAGAUGCUGGUUUUCUAUUUACCUCCAUCUCUACUUGUUCAAAUUAUAAAACAAUAAAACAAAUCGAGUUCAUUUAAAAAAUCAAA